UACAGAGGGUGCGAGCGUUGUCCGGAAUCACUGGGCGUAAAGGGCGCGUAGGUGGCCUGGUAAGUAGGGGGUGAAAUCUCGUGGCUCAACUGCGAGGCUGCCUCCUAAACUGUCCGGCUCGAGCAGAGUAGAGGCAGGUGGAAUUCCCGGUGUAGCGGUGGAAUGCGUAGAGAUCGGGAAGAACAUCGGUGGCGAAGGCGGCCUGCUGGGCUCUUGCUGACACUGAUGCGCGACAGCGUGGGGAGCAAACAGG
rnacentral:rRNA from 1 species